AGAGGACUAGUACAAAAGGAUAGUACAAUUAAUUUGAGGUUAAACAGUGUGAGUUCAAACCUCACGUCCUCUU
rfam:Theileria parva strain Muguga apicoplast, complete genome, whole genome shotgun sequence.